AAGCUUAGGUUAACUCAUCAAACCUGAAGCCUUCAAAGCUUCGAACAAGAGUACCCACACUCUUAGCAUCUGCCAC
rnacentral:tRNA from 1 species